GAAAAAAAAAAAAAAAAAAAAAAAAAACAAAAAAAAAAAAUUAAAAACAAGAGGCAAGGAAAGGCGUAAGAUUCGAUCGUCGAUACAGGGCGGAUCCUAGAUCCCCGCGAUCCAUGGAUCUUUCAUAGAUUACGCAGCUGUAACAAGAAGUCGACCACCUGUUGAAUCCGCACGCGAACCGCCAGCAGCAGUUAUUUCAUUAACCGAAAACAUCGGAAAUUAUACCCGACGAGAAGAAAUUUUACCGCCGAUGGAAAGAGGAAAGGAAAUCAAUACAGCAAAGUGGCGGGCGCUAUGAAGAGAGCUAUCCAUCGACAGUAUGGUAAUGUUUGACACUGUCAUGGAGUUGCUCUCUUUGUCGACGCCGCCUGAUUCAACUCACGUCUUUGUAUCGUACGUCAUUAUAGCAGAACGUCGAAGAAGAAGAAAUUGGAAAGAUUUCCCGGCGAGAUGAAAGAUGAAAAUCGCCAGAACAACUGUAUACUUUUAUCAUUACGAUACUUUACGAUAUAUGCAUCUUUUGAAUUGAAAUUAACGUGCUCGUUAUAUUUUUCUACCGAUUUGGUGUUUUUUGUUGUUUUUUUUUUUUUUUUUUUGUUUGUUUUUCUCGUGGUUAACAAAGAAAUUUGUACUAAUUGUCGAUUACUAAGAGUGUUCUGCACCGAUCUAACCUAGUCUGACAAUGAAACGAAGCGGAAAAUCUUUAAACUGACCGUGAGUCGGGCCUCGCACCUUUCGUUUUCAAACUGCAGGUUCGAAGUUAAGAGAACAAAAAAUAUAAAUGUAAAAUUCGAAUUUUAAACUACAAAUUCAAAUUCACGAUCAUCGUUAUCAUUUUAUUUUUUGGAAUUUUUCAACUUAAAUAAUUCACAAAAUACCGAAACGAUCAAACGACCAAAAUCUAAUCAGUUCCAAGUUUGAAAAAGCCGCGUUGAUCGUGACAAAAAUCAUUGAAAUCCGGCAACUCGUUCUCGAGAUAUCGGCGGACAAAAAAAAAAAUUGAAAAACUUAACUUUCCAUUUUCGGGGUGAUCACAAUAACAUCCUUUUUUCCCUUGAAAACAGAGAAACGGGAACAGUUAAUAACCAGAUAAAAUAUCCCACGACUAUAAACACAACGCAAUUGAAAAUCGUAUCGACGAGACCGCAGCGAAUCGGUCAAGCAUAAAAAGGCGGCCGACCAACGAGCGUCUAGAUCACUGUGACGGGCUGAUCAAGACGGGUCUAGAUCACUGCGGCGAUGAAACAACAGCGAAUAAGCGUGCGAGAAGCGAAGGGGUCUGGAUUAAUACUCGCCUAGAUCACUGCGAAUGGCCGAUCGAGACGAGUCUGAAUCACCGCAGCGGCGCGCGCGCGUCUCGCCGUAAUUAUGAACCAGGAAGCGAAUGAGAACAAGAUGACAAAAAAAAAAAUUAAACGAUCUUAAAACAAAAAGAAAAGAAGAGAUUCAAAAAUAAAAUCGGUAGCAAGAAUUUAUUACCGCUGGGUUCAAUUUCAUUCUGUAUUAAUCGUUUUCACGCCGAUGAUAAUAUCAUUUGUGAAAUGUUUCGUCGUCGAUAAGAAUCGCGAUUUUAUAGAUUUCGCUGUAAUACCUUUUUACAUAAUUUUAUUCCGCAAAUUUUUGCAUCAAAAAAGAAAUAAUAAUAAUACCCUCGAUAUCGCUGAUUAAAAUUUGUUCAAACCGUCGGUUUUUCGCAGAUUAUCGUACAAGUAAACGCUGCUCUUGCUUGCUGAAAGUCGAGCGUAAGGUAUGUGGAAACGGAUAUUAGUACCUGCGUUAUUACACGAUCACCGAGUAUACGUAUAGCAUACCUGUAUAGAGUAGAUACGGCCAACCCCGAGCCGUCUAAGCAAAGCGUUGGCGCAGCGAUUGCGGAGUGCGUACACGGUUAUAAAAACGCGCGUCAAGCGAAGGGCCGUUGACCUUCUUUCAUUGAUUGUGAGCGCAGGGUUUACGGAGAAACGUGCGUUUGCAGAUGCGUAAGUGUACCUGUACGCUGGACGUUUCUGCGGCUUUAAUUUGUUACAGUUGGACAUGCACGCGCAUUCGCAUUCGCCUGUAUGCUAAUAGUAAACUCAUAACGUCCCUGCCGCUGCGUUAUAAAAUACUCGCGGUUCGAGAUGCGGAAACGCUAAGCAAGCAUCCUGCGGGCGGAAACGUUUCAGGAUCCGUGGAACGUACAGGUCGGGUCGGAAACGCGACGAAAAGAAAGUUUUCGACAAAGUCAAGUCGCUGAUUAAGUUUAAUUGUCAACUUCAGAAAGUCUUUGCGAUACGGAAGACAUUCUGAUAUCGCUGAAUUCCAACCAAACUGGGUAAACACAGUUUUUAAACAAGGAAAGUACUUACGAAUUUUUAAACACUCGUAAUCUGCCCUAAUUAUAAAAUCAUAUUUAUUUCGAUUGUCGUUUCGACUUACCUUUUUUCAUUCAGGAUGCGUUGUUAUUUACAAUAAAUACCAGUUUAUUAAUUAUAAUAAAUAACGAAACACCCUGAAUCCAGAAAGGUAAUUCGAAAUGACAGACGUUCAAUUUUACUGGUAGUAGUUUUAACGCAAAAAAUAAAAAUCGUAUUACAAUAAAACUAUUCGUAUAUAAAAUAUUCCAAUAUAAAUUGUAUAAACUAAACCUUGUUACUAACAUAAUCGGUUAAAAGUUUUCACGUUAAACACAAAACUGAACUUUCGUUGACCAGUGCUAGCGAAGAAGUAACAUUUUUUCACAUAGUUUUUAGACCAAAUAAUCAGCAACAUAGUUCGUCCGAUGCUAAUAAAAAAUAGCACAUUUUAUUCAUAAAAAUGCAGUUACGUAUUCGAAGAUCAGAAAUACUUUUAAACUCGUACAACACAGUCUAGCAAACACAUAAAUAUUUUAUUUUGUUUCUUUUUCGUCACAUCAUCUGACGUCUGAGUCGUUUAAAAAUUAUGUACAGGUAUACAAAGAGUCUAGAAUACACUUCUGUAUUACGUAUGCACGCGCAAUAAUUAUCGUUAUUGAAACUUCACCGACAGUUUGUACUCAGCUUGCAGAAUAAACAGUUGCCUCGUUAUUUUAUUUUA
rnacentral:lncRNA from 1 species